AUGAUACACCACAGAGCAAGCACAUAGUGAACACAGGUAACAAGCAGGUUAAGGAUAGGGCUUUGGAACCCAGAAAAUGGCUUCAAUUGUUGGUACCAGGCUAUUAUUGUGCUCUAUGUAUUUACCUUGAGUGGCAGCAUUGAAAGGCAUGUGCAAUUGCAUGCAAAUUGAGAGAACAACUUAAAGGAGUCAGAGGGCUCCUUCUACCAGUGGUUUCCUGGUAUCAACUUCAGAUCAGUAGUCAUGGAGGAAAGUGUCCUGGUCACUGAGCCAUUUCACUGGUCCCUGUUUACACUCUAGGAAGUCAUUUGUUAUAUUCAACUAGUAUAACCAUGGUGUAAGGUACAACCUUACAUGACUCAACGGAAGCAUCUCAAGGAAUGUUGAGAAGCCUGCAUGAUGUGCUGGGGUAAUGGUGGAGCAGAACUUGUGGAAGUGAUCAACCAAUAUCCAGCUUAAGUAGAGGCCCACUCCAUAAGAGAAAGCAAAUGCCAGUCAUUCCCUGGAUGACCAGGAAUAUAAAAUUAGAUAGCCCAGACACCUAGAUAAGUACCAUAAGAACCAACCCUGACUGGCAACAAAGAAAAUAAAAAGAAAAUAAAAGAAGGAAGGAAGGAAGGAAGGAAGGAAGGAAGGAAGGAAGGAAGGAACAAUUAUCCCUAAUGAUAUUCUGCUAUAGAUGGAUAACUUGUACCGUAAUCAUAGAAGAGGCUUCGUCAACAGAUUGUAGCAGAUGUGAUUUUUAAAGACCUCUGCUAAAAGAAUAAUAUACUACAGUAUGAUGCCUACUAAUUCAGACUCAUGGUCACUACUCUGAAGCUACAUCGUUGUAAAUUCUGAUCAAAUGCUCACAGUGCUGCUGCAUUCUCUCGGGAAAUGGUAGCCCAGAAGACGCAUGCUAUGCCGACUCUGAAUCUACUGAGCCUGUCUUAAU